AACUUUCAACAAUGGAUCUCUAGGUUCUCGCAUCGAUGAAGAACGUAGCAAAUUGCGAUAACUAGUGUGAAUUGCAUUUUCAGUGAAUCAUCGAGUCUUUGAACGCAUCUUGCACUCUAGGGAUUUCCUCUAGAGUACGCCUGUUUCAGUGACAG
rnacentral:rRNA from 1 species